GGCGGCAGCUACCAUGCAGUCGAGCGGAUGACGGGAGCUUGUUCCUUGAUUCAGCGGCGGACGGGUGAGUAAUGCCUAGGAAUCUGCCUGGUAGUGGGGGACAACGUUUCGAAAGGAACGCUAAUACCGCAUACGUCCUACGGGAGAAAGCAGGGGACCUUCGGGCCUUGCGCUAUCAGAUGAGCCUAGGUCGGAUUAGCUAGUUGGUGAGGUAAUGGCUCACCAAGGCGACGAUCCGUAACUGGUCUGAGAGGAUGAUCAGUCACACUGGAACUGAGACACGGUCCAGACUCCUACGGGAGGCAGCAGUGGGGAAUAUUGGACAAUGGGCGAAAGCCUGAUCCAGCCAUGCCGCGUGUGUGAAGAAGGUCUUCGGAUUGUAAAGCACUUUAAGUUGGGAGGAAGGGCAGUAAGUUAAUACCUUGCUGUUUUGACGUUACCGACAGAAUAAGCACCGGCUAACUCUGUGCCAGCAGCCGCGGUAAUACAGAGGGUGCAAGCGUUAAUCGGAAUUACUGGGCGUAAAGCGCGCGUAGGUGGUUUGUUAAGUUGGAUGUGAAAGCCCCGGGCUCAACCUGGGAACUGCAUCCAAAACUGGCAAGCUAGAGUACGGUAGAGGGUGGUGGAAUUUCCUGUGUAGCGGUGAAAUGCGUAGAUAUAGGAAGGAACACCAGUGGCGAAGGCGACCACCUGGACUGAUACUGACACUGAGGUGCGAAAGCGUGGGGAGCAAACAGGAUUAGAUACCCUGGUAGUCCACGCCGUAAACGAUGUCAACUAGCCGUUGGAAUCCUUGAGAUUUUAGUGGCGCAGCUAACGCAUUAAGUUGACCGCCUGGGGAGUACGGCCGCAAGGUUAAAACUCAAAGGAAUUGACGG
rnacentral:rRNA from 1 species